GGUGAACGCUGGCGGCGUGCCUAAUACAUGCCAGUCGAGCGAACAGACGAGGAGCUUGCUCCUCUGACGUUAGCGGCGGACGGGUGAGUAACACGUGGAUAACCUACCUAUAAGACUGGGAUAACUUCGGGAAACCGGAGCUAAUACCGGAUAAUAUAUUGAACCGCAUGGUUCAAUAGUGAAAGACGGUUUUGCUGUCACUUAUAGAUGGAUCCGCGCCGCAUUAGCUAGUUGGUAAGGUAACGGCUUACCAAGGCAACGAUGCGUAGCCGACCUGAGAGGGUGAUCGGCCACACUGGAACUGAGACACGGCCCAGACUCCUACGGGAGGCAGCAGUAGGGAAUCUUCCGCAAUGGGCGAAAGCCUGACGGAGCAACGCCGCGUGAGUGAUGAAGGUCUUCGGAUCGUAAAACUCUGUUAUUAGGGAAGAACAAAUGUGUAAGUAACUAUGCACGUCUUGACGGUACCUAAUCAGAAAGCCACGGCUAACUACGUG
rnacentral:rRNA from 1 species